GGUUUUUAGAAUUUUUAUUGAAAGUUUAAUCUGCCCAAUGAAGUGGUUUUAAUGGCUGCGGUAAUUUGACCGUACGAAGGUAGCAUAAUAAUUAGUCUUUUAAUUGGAGUCUGGAAUGAAUGAUUGGAUGAGAAAAUAACUUUCUUUAAAUUUUUUAUUAAAAUUUUAUUUUUAAGUGAAAAAGCUUAAAUUUUUAUUUGGGACGAUAAGACCCUAUAGAGCUUAAAUAUUUUUUAUUUAAUUUAUUUUUUGUGUUUAUAAUUUAUUUAAGUAUUAAGAGUUUUUGGUUGGGGUGACAGUUUAAAUUUAUUUAUCUUUAAUUUUUUUUUUCAUUUAUUUUUGAUUAAUUGAUCUUUUUUUAAUGAUUAUAAGAUUAAGUUACCUUAGGGAUAACAGCGUAAUUUAUUUGGAGAGUUCUUAUCAAUAAAUAGGAUUGCGACCUCGAUGUUGGAUUAAGAAUAGUAAAGGGUGAAGGUUUUCUUUGAUUCUAGGUCUGUUCGACCUUUAAAUUCUUACA
rnacentral:rRNA from 1 species